GACGAACGCUGGCGGCGUGCUUAACACAUGCAAGUCGAACGGAAAGGCCCUGCUUUUGUGGGGUGCUCGAGUGGCGAACGGGUGAGUAACACGUGAGUAACCUGCCCUUGACUUUGGGAUAACUUCAGGAAACUGGGGCUAAUACCGGAUAGGAGCUCCUUCUGCAUGGUGGGGGUUGGAAAGUUUCGGCGGUUGGGGAUGGACUCGCGGCUUAUCAGCUUGUUGGUGGGGUAGUGGCUUACCAAGGCUUUGACGGGUAGCCGGCCUGAGAGGGUGACCGGCCACAUUGGGACUGGGAUACGGCCCAGACUCCUACGGGAUGCAGCAGUGGGGAAUAUUGCACAAUGGGCGGAAGCCUGAUGCAGCAACGCCGCGUUCGGGAUGACGGCCUUCGGGGUGUAAACCGCUUUCGCCUGUGACGAAGCGUGAGUGACGGUAAUGGGUAAAGAAGCACCGGCUAACUACGUG
rnacentral:rRNA from 1 species